rnacentral:rRNA from 1 species
UGGGGAAUUUUGGACAAUGGGCGCAAGCCUGAUCCAGCCAUGCCGCGUGCAGGAUGAAGGCCCUCGGGUUGUAAACUGCUUUUGUACGGAACGAAAAGCCUCUUUCUAAUAAAGAGGGGUGAUGACGGUACCGUAAGAAUAAGCACCGGCUAACUACGUGCCAGCAGCCGCGGUAAUACGUAGGGUGCGAGCGUUAAUCGGAAUUACUGGGCGUAAAGCGUGCGCAGGCGGUCUUGCAAGACAGUGGUGAAAUCCCCGGGCUCAACCUGGGAACUGCCAUUGUGACUGCAAGGCUGGAGUACGGCAGAGGGAGAUGGAAUUCCGCGUGUAGCAGUGAAAUGCGUAGAUAUGCGGAGGAACACCGAUGGCGAAGGCAGUCCCCUGGGCCUGUACUGACGCUCAUGCACGAAAGCGUGGGGAGCAAACA